rnacentral:rRNA from 1 species
UACGAAGGGGGCUAGCGUUGCUCGGAAUGACUGGGCGUAAAGGGCGCGUAGGCGGCACACACAGUCAGAAGUGAAAUUCCUGGGCUCAACCUGGGGACUGCUUUUGAUACGUGUGAGCUAGAGUGAGGAAGAGGGUUGUGGAAUUUCCAGUGUAGAGGUGAAAUUCGUAGAUAUUGGAAAGAACACCGGUGGCGAAGGCGGCAACCUGGUCCUUUACUGACGCUGAGGCGCGAAAGCGUGGGGAGCAAACAGG